rnacentral:rRNA from 1 species
UCCGGAGGGUGCGAGCGUUAUCCGGAAUUACUGGGUUUAAAGGGUGCGUAGGCGGCUAAGUAAGUCAGGCGUGAAAGUUUGCGGCUCAACCGUAAAAUUGCUUUUGAUACUGCAUAGCUAGAGUACGGAAGAGGAAGGCGGAAUUCCCGGUGUAGCGGUGAAAUGCGUAGAUAUCGGGAGGAACAUCAGUGGCGAAGGCGGCCGUCUGGUCCAGUACUGACACUCAAGUGCGAAAGCGUGGGGAGCAAACAGG